rnacentral:rRNA from 1 species
UACGUAGGGAGCGAGCGUUGUCCGAAGUUACUGGGCGUAAAGCGCGUGUAGGCGGGUUAGUAAGUCGGAGGUGAAAGGCUGGGGCUUAACCCCAUGCAGUGUCUCCGAUACUGCUAGUCUUGAGGGCGGUAGGGAGAAGUGGAAUGGCUGGUGUAGCGGUGAAAUGCGUAGAUAUCAGUCGGAACACCGGUGGCGAAGGCGGCUUCUUGGGCCGUUCCUGACGCUGAGGCGCGAAAGCCAGGGGAGCGAACGGG